rnacentral:rRNA from 1 species
CAGUCGCCGCGGUAAUACGAAGGGGGCUAGCGUUGCUCGGAAUGACUGGGCGUAAAGGGCGCGUAGGCGGCGGCCAAAGUCAGGCGUGAAAUUCCCGGGCUCAACCUGGGGGCUGCGUUUGAUACUUGGUUGCUUGAGUGGGGAAGAGGGUCGUGGAAUUCCCAGUGUAGAGGUGAAAUUCGUAGAUAUUGGGAAGAACACCGGUGGCGAAGGCGGCGACCUGGUCCUUGACUGACGCUGAGGCGCGAAAGCGUGGGGAGCAAACAGGAUUAGAUACCCCAGUAGUCCCUGUCUCUUAUAC